rnacentral:rRNA from 1 species
UAGGGAAUCUUCCGCAAUGGACGCAAGUCUGACGGAGCAACGCCGCGUGAGUGAAGAAGGAUUUCGGUUCGUAAAACUCUGUUGUUAGAGAAGAACAGCGCAUAGAGUAACUGUUAUGCGUGUGACGGUAUCUAACCAGAAAGCCACGGCUAACUACGUGCCAGCAGCCGCGGUAAUACGUAGGUGGCAAGCGUUGUCCGGAUUUAUCGGGCGUAAAGCGAGCGCAGGCGGUCAAUUAAGUCUGAUGUGAAAGCCCCCGGCUCAACCGGGGAGGGUCAUUGGAAACUGGUUGACUUGAGUGCAGAAGAGGAGAGUGGAAUUCCAUGUGUAGCGGUGAAAUGCGUAGAUAUAUGGAGGAACACCAGUGGCGAAGGCGACUCUCUGGUCUGUAACUGACGCUGAGGUUCGAAAGCGUGGGUAGCAAACAGG